rnacentral:rRNA from 1 species
AUUGAACGCUGGCGGCAUGAUUUACACAUGCAAGUCGAACGGUAACAGGCCGCAAGGUGCUGACGAGUGGCGCACGGGUGAGUAAUGCAUCGGAACGUGCCCAGUCGUGGGGGAUAACUACUCGAAAGAGUAGCUAAUACCGCAUACGAUCUAUGGAUGAAAGCGGGGGACCGUAAGGCCUCGCGCGAUUGGAGCUGCCGAUGUCAGAUUAGGUAGUUGGUGGGGUAAAGGCUCACCAAGCCUACGAUCUGUAGCUGGUCUGAGAGGACGACCAGCCACACUGGGACUGAGACACGGCCCAGACUACUACGGGAGGCAGCAGUGGGGAAUUUUAGACAAAGGGCGGAAGCCUGAUCCAGCAAUGCCGCGGGGAGAAAGAAGGCCUUCGGGUUGUAAACUGCUUUUGUACGGAACGAAACGGCUCUGGUUAAUACCCGGGGCUAAUGACGGUACCGUAAGAAUAAGCACCGGCUAACUACGUG